GUUUGAGAAUUACAGUCCCUCUCAUCCUUCCUGAGCUAGGCUCAGCAGUCUGAGGUCUGGCAGCUGUAGUGGUAGGGUAAUGUGCCCUCAGAGUCCUGCCUCCCCACCUAAAGGGGUUCCUGUGCUCUGUGUUCAUCUGCUCAAAACCAAAGUUAAAUAAACCCUGGAAAGCUUUUGUCUGUCUGGAAGCAUUUAUCAUCUGUUGAGAUGCUGGGCAGCAGAGUGUCAGUGUGGACCACGGUUUUGGGUCUUUGUGAUCAAAGCUUCCUGAUGAGUAAGGCCUUUUUAAGAACAUCAGUGUUGGGAGGAAAGCAGGCUUUGUUAUGUCCCUGCUGAGGAGGUUAUUUGUAUUGCCCUGUGCACUCUGGAUUGCAAGGAGCAGGGUUGGCAGUGCUGCUGCUGCGUUGGCAAGGGCUGCUCCACACACCGAGGUCUUCCCAUCUUAAUAAAGACAGUCAAAGCAAAUAAGUGCAGGCUCUCCGUUGGCUCAUUAAUGCUUGUGCUUGUCACUUGUAAUUGGAAAUAUGUUGUGUGGAUUUUGCGUAUUAACAGGCUUUUGCUGUUGCACAGGACUGCGGAGAAUUCAGACGCUGUUUGAAAUUCAGGAUGCUUUUUCCCUUGUCUCGGACCUGCUGAGGGUAAACAGCUCUGCCCUCUAGUGCCGCUUCCCGAAUCUGUUAAACCGGAGCACAUCGAUGAUCCUGGGAGCACGCCUCACCCAGGGCAUCCCUUGGAGCACGCUGAUCAGAGCCAGUCCAGGGCUGCUCUGCGCAUCGUGCUGAAACCAGGCAGCUGCUCCGUUAGAAGGGCUUUAGCCCCAUGCCAGGCACGGGGAGCAUGGCACAUGUUGGCAUAUCCCCUGCACAGCAUCCAUAAGGGGAAAUACAGUACAUCACCACUGACUUUCCUGGAGCUGGUGUUUGGAAGACCCCUGCUGCUGAUGAUUCAGAUUCCUCCUGAAGGAUCUGCUGCUGGUUGAUGGGAAGUCGUCAAAAUGCAUUGUGCCACUUCAGGAGGAGCACAGGGUAGCCUGGGACUCUUGUUCCUCCUCUUCGAGGAUGAAGAGUUGACAAGUUUAAAGGGACACACCAUGAGCAGCUGAGUCUGUGGGAGAUGGAGGAAGAUCAGGAACCUCUGACAGUUUUUGAGGCUUUGAAGAAUCGGACCCCAGGGAUGUUCAUCUAGAUAUUAAGGCCUGUGUUUAUAAGAGCAAUUGCUUUGCCAUGUUCUCCUUGAGGACCUGGCUGAGCAUCCAAAGAGGAGGUAUGCAUUGUCACUUCUGGUAGAGGCAGGUUGGCUGAUGUGACUGUAUCUGUUCUGAUGCUUUGAGCUUCUCGGCAUGCUGUGCCAUCACCAGCACUUGUUCCUAUAGCAGUUUUUGUUGCUCCUGUGCCCAGUAACUUCUGUUUGGUGUUUACUCUUCUCUUCUCAUUCUGUACUUGGACACAGAGGUAGUUCUCAGUCUUGCAAAUGGGUUUGCUUCAGCCCUGGCAUGUUGGUGCUUCCCUCCUUCAUUCUUUCUAUGUCUGGUGCAGAUGUGGAGGCUCUGCCCACUGGCCAGGGGCUGGCAGCUCACUGAUGGAGCCAUCGGCACGGUAACUUUGGCUGUAUCAGUUUCUCUCGGUCUCUGCAGCUUUCUGGGUUAGGAGAUCCAUCAGCCUGAGGGUUUAUUUGCACUAACACCAUGGGUGAGAAAACAAGCACUGCAUCAGGCCAUGUUUAUUUUAUAUCUCAGGAGCUGCUGGGAGCUGUGUCAGCCAAGGCAGUCCCACGGGCCCUGCUGGCUCCAGGGAUCUAGUCCUGCUGUCUGCAGGCUGUGAGGACCAUCUCUUGGGAGGCAGUCGUACACACUGCCCCCUGCCUAAGCUCCAGCCCCUGGGAACACCAGAACUCUCCAGGCUGGGCUUGCUGGGAGCUCUCCUGGUUCUCCUGAGGGCACCGUGGUGCCGCUUGGCAGCCCAGGCAAUGGCAUAAAUGAUUUUCUAUCCUCUUGCCUCAAACAUUAAAGAGACUACAGUGAUGGAGAGAGGAAGGAAUAAUGCAGCUCAGGGAAGAGCUGUGCUCCCGCAGGGGUUGCACAGGGCACACUCAUUCCCCCAGUGCACGCAGAGGGGUUUUUUAACCCUGGGAUCCCUCUUUGGUGCUGGCAGGGUGUCUCAGGCUUGUGUGGGCAGCAAUAGUUCCCGUAUGGCUGCAGAGUGUGCUGAGGCUGGUUCCUCUGUGCUUUGGGGUGAGGGAGAUGGUCCAUCCCAAGAUUGGCUCCAGCUCCAGACCAUGAGUGAAGGCUGCAGUACCACAGCUCCGUGCAGUAUUAGCUGCCUGUGGCUGUAAUAGUCAGGGUGAUGGCUCUUCCAGGAGGAAAACACCUCAGCUGAAGCAGUGUUCCCCACGGACACAUCGGUGUGCUUUGUGCUGUCACGCUGCACAUCAGUCACAGCAAAGAGAGUGGCUCUAGCGGCGGCUGAGUUUGUGAUGAGGAUGUAGCAAGCGCGAUGACUCCAGAGCUGGUUCAGGUUCGUGCAGAGCCCUGGUGCUGGCUCCCCUCUGGCAUGGACACGCCGAGCUCUCGCU